rnacentral:misc_RNA from 1 species
GAUGAAGAACGUAGCGAAAUGCGAUAAGUAAUGUGAAUUGCAGAAUUCCGUGAAUCAUCGAAUCUUUGAACGCACAUUGCGCCCCCUGGCAUUCCGGGGGGCAUGCCUGUCCGAGCGUCAUUUCUGCCCUCCAGCCCGGCUGGGUGUUGGGCGCUGUCCCCCCGGGGACACGCCCCAAAGGCAGUGGCGGCGCCGCGUCGGGUCCUCGAGCGUAUGGGGCUUUGUCACCCGCUCGGGACGGACUCGUCGGCGCUGGUCUUCCUCCAGGCGACCCUUCGGGGCUCGUCUUCCUUCGGUUGACCUCGAAUCAGGUAGGGUUACCCGCUGAACUUAAGCAUAUCAAUAAGCGGAGGA